rnacentral:rRNA from 1 species
UUUUGUGGAGGGUUUGAUUCUGGCUCAGGACGAACGCUGGCGGCGUGCUUAACACAUGCAAGUCGAACGGGAUCCAAUGAAGCUUGCUUUGUUGGUGAGAGUGGCGAACGGGUGAGUAACGCGUGAUUAACCUGCCGUGUAGUGGGGAAUAGCUCCUGGAAACGGGUGGUAAUGCCCUAUGUUCCGCAUUGUCGCAUGAUGGUGUGGGAAAGCUUUAUGUGCUAUACGAUGGGAUCGCGUCCUAUCAGCUUGUUGGUGGGGUAGUGGCCUACCAAGGCUUCGACGGGUAGCCGGCCUGAGAGGGCGACCGGCCACAUUGGGACUGAGAUACGGCCCAGACUCCUACGGGAGGCAGCAGUGGGGAAUAUUGCACAAUGGGGGAAACCCUGAUGCAGCGACGCCGCGUGCGGGAUGACGGCCUUCGGGUUGUAAACCGCUUUUAAUUGGGAGCAAGCGCAAGUGAGUGUACCUUUUGAAUAAGCACCGGCUAACUACGUGCCAGCAGCCGCGGUAAUACGUAGGGUGCAAGCGUUGUCCGGAAUUAUUGGGCGUAAAGAGCUCGUAGGCGGUUUGUCGCGUCUGGUGUGAAAGUCCAUCGCUUAACGGUGGAUCUGCGCUGGGUACGGGCAGGCUAGAGUGUAGUAGGGGAGACUGGAAUUCCCGGUGUAACGGUGGAAUGUGUAGAUAUCGGGAAGAACACCAAUGGCGAAGGCAGGUCUCUGGGCUAUUACUGACGCUGAGGAGCGAAAGCGUGGGGAGCGAACAGGAUUAGAUACCCUGGUAGUCCACGCCGUAAACGGUGGAUGCUGGAUGUGGGGCCCAUUCCACGGGUUCUGUGUCGGAGCUAACGCGUUAAGCAUCCCGCCUGGGGAGUACGGCCGCAAGGCUAAAACUCAAAGAAAUUGACGGGGGCCCGCACAAGCGGCGGAGCAUGCGGAUUAAUUCGAUGCAACGCGAAGAACCUUACCAAGACUUGACAUAUCAGCGACAGGCUUAGAGAUAGGUCCUCCCUUCGGGGCGCUGUUACAGGUGGUGCAUGGUCGUCGUCAGCUCGUGUCGUGAGAUGUUGGGUUAAGUCCCGCAACGAGCGCAACCCUUGUCUUGUGUUGCCAGCACGUUAUGGUGGGAACUCACAAGAGACCGCCGGGGUUAACUCGGAGGAAGGUGGGGAUGACGUCAGAUCAUCAUGCCCCUUACGUCUUGGGCUUCACGCAUGCUACAAUGGCCGGUACAGCGAGGUGCGAUGCGGUGACGCGGAGCGGAUCUCUUAAAACCGGUCUCAGUUCGGAUUGGAGCCUGCAACUCGGCUCCAUGAAGGUGGAGUCGCUAGUAAUCGCAGAUCAGCAACGCUGCGGUGAAUGCGUUCCCGGGCCUUGUACACACCGCCCGUCAAGUCAUGAAAGUGGGCAACACCCGAAGCCGGUGGCCUAACCAUUUUGUGGGGGGAGCCGUCUAAGGUGAGGUUCGCGAUUGGGACUAAGUCGUAACAAGGUAGCCGUACCGGAAGGUGCGGCUGGAUCACCUCCUUUCUACGGA